UACGAAGGGGGCUAGCGUUGCUCGGAAUCACUGGGCGUAAAGCGCACGUAGGCGGAUUGUUAAGUCAGGGGUGAAAUCCUGGAGCUCAACUCCAGAACUGCCUUUGAUACUGGCGAUCUCGAGUCCGGGAGAGGUGAGUGGAACUGCGAGUGUAGAGGUGAAAUUCGUAGAUAUUCGCAAGAACACCAGUGGCGAAGGCGGCUCACUGGCCCGGUACUGACGCUGAGGUGCGAAAGCGUGGGGAGCAAACAGGAUU
rnacentral:rRNA from 1 species